GCACUUGUGGCUUACUGGUUAGAGCGUCUGCCUUGGAUGCUUGAGGUUGCGGGUUCGAACCCAGGCUAAGGCA